rnacentral:rRNA from 1 species
UACAGAGGUCUCAAGCGUUGUUCGGAUUCAUUGGGCGUAAAGGGUGCGUAGGUGGCGCCGUAAGUCAGGUGUGAAAUUUCGGAGCUUAACUCCGAAACUGCAUUUGAUACUGCGGUGCUUGAGGACUGGAGAGGAGACUGGAAUUCACGGUGUAGCAGUGAAAUGCGUAGAUAUCGGAAGGAACACCAGUGGCGAAGGCGGCUACCUGGACUGACACUGACGCUGAGGCGCGAGAGCGUGGGGAGCAAACAGG